rnacentral:rRNA from 1 species
UACGUAGGGUGCGAGCGUUAAUCGGAAUUACUGGGCGUAAAGCGUGCGCAGGCGGCUUUGCAAGACAGAGGUGAAAUCCCCGGGCUCAACCUGGGAACUGCCUUUGUGACUGCAAGGCUAGAGUACGGCAGAGGGAGAUGGAAUUCCGCGUGUAGCAGUGAAAUGCGUAGAUAUGCGGAGGAACACCGAUGGCGAAGGCAGUCCCCUGGGCCUGUACUGACGCUCAUGCACGAAAGCGUGGGGAGCAAACAGG